GACCCAAUGGUCAAGUUAGGUUAAGACAUAAUAUUUUCGAUAUUACAUUCGAGAGUUCAAAUCUCUCUUGGGUUG
rfam:Coccidioides immitis RMSCC 3703 supercont1.287 mitochondrial scaffold, whole genome shotgun sequence.